ensembl:lncRNA
CUAGCGUCUUACCUAAAUCUUUAUUUUAGUUCAAAGUUGUGAGAUGAAGCGAUGUAUUUCUAUUCUCCUACAUGCUGUGAAGAACUGCUGCUUGGCAAUCCAGGGCACUAAAUGUGUCAAGUGGAGAGAACAGUGUUUCUCAUUUUGCCACAGACACAUGAGGCUCCUGUUUACUCUUCUUUAAUUAAUCCACUUGCUCUAUUGACCCCAGGCUGCCCACCCCAUCCCCUCAUAUUCCUCACAUUAAUUCAGUUGUCCUUCUCUUAACCUCCUAAACUAUCUUGCAAAUGAACAACUAAAGGAUUACUACUUUAACAGCUAAGGAUGAUGUGUCCAAAGUUCACACCUCCUGAGAAGUCUGCCAACGUUACCACAGGACAGGACAGGAGCUAUCCAUCAGUGAUGCCCAUGACCAAAAAUGAAUGUGUCUGACAAUGGAGCAUGGAGGGCUACUUCUGCUUCAGCUCUAUCUGGAUGAAGCACAGGAACAAGGCAAUAAUGUCCCGACACUGGGUGCAGAAGCACUACGCCUGAGCAUCUCAGCUCCAUCCCAGUGCAGAAGGAAAAACAUGUUUUGCUACUCCUUGCCUCUGCAUGAACAAGCCAGCUAAGAAAGAAGAGAAGAUAGCCACUUGGUCUAGGAUAAGAGGAAUGGAAUACAUGCAAGAAGUUUUUAAAAUUGCACAAAAUGCACAAGUGGGAAAGAACAGUGAAUGAAGAGACAAAACAGCAAAACGCCCUUUGAAGUGGUUUACAGAAAGGGCUCCAACACAGCCACGCAUCAACCUGAAUUAGGGAUGCUGCUCUCCCAGCUCCGUGCUCUACCAGCACCAGUGCUGAACUAAAUUCCUUGCAGUGUGUUGCGCAUCCCACCCUGAGUGGUCCAGCAGCCAAGCCACUGUGGGACAUGUGCCCCGUGAGGUGGCUCAAAGGUACAGUUUGGUGGCUUGCAGUUUGCACAGUUUCAGUGUGGUGAUGCAGAACCAAGCCAAAGUGAUGAGUUUGGUAGAAAGACCUCAUGAGGCACAGGCAACCAGUGCCCAGGAAUGCACAGCCCUGGGGCAGGGUGUGGGGACAUUUCAGUAGGGAUGAGUCAGAGCAUGCAGCUCCAUAGGGUCUAGGUAGGUUUUGAUGGCUGGACUUGCUGGGCACUCAUCCCACGGAGAAGCCCACAUCUGAGCUGGAUCAAAAGCAUGCUGUGGGGCCAUCCCAUGGUUCCAGGAACGGGUUUUAAUGGUCAUGAAACCCCAGUACGCGAAGGAGAUGGAAGUGGGAAUUUUCACAGUUCCCUGGAAGGAGGUUCACGUGGAGGAGGAAUGAGACUCUCAGUAGCUGCUGCAGUUGGUUUCCAAUCCAGAACACUGGCAAAUGGUGGGUGUAAAGAAAUUACUGAGGCUCCAAUUUUGUGGCUUUCUGCUGUCUUCUGUAUAAAGCAAGUUUGAGUACUAAGACACACACACACACACAAAAAAACAAAAACAAAAAACAAAUAAAACCAAAAAAACAUAAUGAAACAGGAAAAAAAAACAACCGAAGUGAUAAAUACCUCAUGUUUUGAAGAGCCAGUGCUCCUAAAAUAAACCAUGCACAGUCUCGUUGCUAACUCAACAUUGCAAAGAAAUAUAUUCACCAGCCAGAAAUGAAAUAAAUGCAUUAUUCCCCACACCUCUUUUGCUCUUUACUUCUCAAUGAGAUGCUGACUUCAAAGACCAGCGGGAGCCAUUUGGAUGCUAAUAGCAUUAAGUAUCUGCAAUCUAAGAAAUAAACCCUUUCCUGGAAUCCACACCCCCACCUAACCCACCCCCCUCCUCAUGCUCUUUCACCCAGUGCUUGCAGAUCCACCUUUCCCAGGGAUGGCUCAUGUAUUUCAAUAUCAUUCUCUGGACUGUAACCCACCUAACCUCCUCCUCUCCCCAGCUCCCUGCCCUGUAGGCACUGAGAACUGCCUGAGGCAGACCUCCAUACACUUCAAUGUUUGAUUUUUCUAUUUUCCUUUAAUACUACUGCCUUUGGAAAUUGUUUUGGUGGGGUCACAGAUGGCUUACUUACUGCUUCAUCUAUCUGAAAAAUUACACAAGUACUCUGCAAGGUUAUGGAAGUGCAUCAUGCCAUUGUGAAGUGCUCAGCACUUCAUCUAUAGGCUCCUUGCUUGAGUUUCAGCCUCUGCUUCACCACUGAAGCCCUCUGCGUCACUGCAAGCAGCUCUUGCUUGCUCCCAGCCCUAAUUUCCCAGCUAUUAGAUGGGAGCAGCCAGACUGGAGCCUGCUCGGUAGGGACAGGGUGAAGGCUGCACCCACGAGACUCAUGGGCGCUGAUGCAUUAGGAAGUGCCUGCAAUGCCCAGCAAAACCAUGCAGCUCCUCUUCAGCUGGACAGUGUCAGUGACUUCCAUUACUGUAAUUACACAAGGAAAGCAUGUAAAGGGGGGAGUUCAUGGGCUGCCAGAUCCAUCAGACUCAGGUCUGCUCCCAUUUUCUGCUUCUGAACCAAAUGCAGCCACUGAGACCUAACACUUUUCACUCGCAGAAGCCUUGAUGAAGCUCAAGUUGCUCUCCUGCAACAUGACAACAGGGAAGAGCCUUGGAUCCAACUUCAAUCAACCUUCCCUUGCAAAUUCAUGUUAAAAAAAAAAAGUAUAUGGAGAGGUGCUGUGCAGCCUAAGCUGAAAGGCAGCUAUGUUAGCACAAGGAGCGAAGGUGGGCAGUGCUGAGCAGGAGCAGCAUGCAGUGCUGAGGAUCAUGAGGUGCAUGGUGACAAAGUGAUGUGCCCAGCACCCCUCUCAUUCCCACCUCGCCCCCAGGGAGGAUUGCAUUGGAUGAGCUCCACCCCAGAGCAAAACUAACUGAAGGAAAAACAUGGAUUUAAAUAAUCCCCAUUACCAAAAGCUCUCAAAGAAGAAGCAAGUGGUAAAUUUGGAUCAAUUCUCAACUUACAAAAGAGGAGGUUCAGUCACGUUAAGUACACGUUUUCCCUGCAGAGCUCACCCAAAAACCGAGCACACCCAAAGUCACAUACAUGCAGCAGAAAUAAAUUGAAAGAGGUUUCCUACUCCUUUAAUCAGCCUGUAACUCCAGCUGCUCGGUAAAACAGGACAGCUGCACAACAGGAGCCCUGUGUGAACGAGUUGGAGGUGCAGUGGGCAUUUUUGUGGAAAUCUUCCUUUUUUCAACAAAUGUACCUUUGAAAUCAAAAGCAGCCCAUGGGAAGGCCCGGGGAAACCUGAGAUAACAGCAGUCAUUCUACUGACUGUGAUUUUCAAGAAAGCAAAGGCAAAGCAUUUAAACUCAGUAAAAGCACACCUUGAAAGUCGUAAGUGAACAAAAAGUUAAAAAAGCGUGGAGCAAAAAAAAAACCUUAAAGUUAUUAAUGGAAACAGAAAAGGAAAUGGAAAGAGAAAUGGAGAAGGAAAUGGAAAAAGGGGAUGGCAGCUCUUCACCCAACGCAACACUGUUUUUAACAGGCCACGGGAGCAUUUCAACACCUUCCUUCAAAAGACAACAUUUAUUUAACUUAUACAAAACUGUGAGCUGGCACAGACUUGCUGUCCCCAAGCCUCUUCACAACUCCCUGUUUUGCCACACCGAAUCUCAGCUUUUUGUGUGCAGGAGCCUUGCAGGAGGCUGUGGUGACUGGCAGGGCUGGGGCUUCACCCCAGAAAUGGCACUGUGAGGAAGAAAUUCUUUACACAGAGGGUGAUGAGGCACUGGAAUGGUUGGCCCAAAAAAGCUGUGGAUGCCCCAUCCCUGGAGGCAUUCAAGGCCAGGAUGGAUGGGGCCCUGGGCAGCCUGAGCUGGUGCGGUGCAGCCCUGCACAUGGCAGGAACUAGAUGAUCUUUAAUGUCCCUUCCAACCUAAGCCAUUUUAUGAUUCAAUGAGUUUCUCCCACUUACACCAUCCUCUGUGCUUUAAGUGCCACGGGGAUGAGCACCAGCAGCCUGCUCCACAUCACCAGACUGUUUGUGGUUUUAAGUGAUAUGCUUAAAGCAGAGAGGGGAAAAUCUUCACUGAAAGGCAGAAAAAUUGGAGAAUGAGCUGAGAGCCCACUGUGCACAUCACCAACCAAUUCCGAAAGUGUCAAGAUACGAGGUCUUCAAGGCUGUGGGUGCUAAAACAAAGUGGAAACACGAUGCUGCUCAUAUCAGCCCUUCCUAGACACCUGACAGGAUGAAUUCAGUCUCCCUCAUGGAAGGAACAUAGUUUUGCACCAGCUGAGCCAUGAGAGUAGGAUGAGCCCUUUUCUGGGCCACCUGAAAGCGGAGAGCAUCUCCUUCCUGCCCAGGGCUGCUGCUGGGAUGAUGCAGAGGUUCCAGGGCAGCCUGGGGAGUUUCAACAGCUACUUGAAAAGUAGCUCGCUUUGAGUGGCAGACAAACACGAAAAAUACAAAGUCAACUUGUGAAGUACAUUUAGAUAUCUUAAAACAUAAGAUAUUGCAACAUGGUAUUUCAACAUCAACAAAGUGAUGAAAAGACGUCCACUCCUCCCGUUCUUGUUUUCAAAACAGAUCAUCUACCUUAUCAAAUUAAAACAGUGUGAGCAGUACCAAUGACUGUCCAAGCAUUGUCUUCAACUCAGCAAACUGCUGAAUCCCAGGACCAAUGAACUGUGGAUCUGCCACUCACCUGCAUGUACAUGGACAUCCCAUCCUACCCUGCCCCAUCCAAUGCCAUCCUAUACCGUGCCAUGCCAUGCCAUCCCCUGCUAUCCCAUCCCAUGCCAUGCUGUCUUGUCCCACCCAAUCCCAUCCCACCUCACAGUAUGCCUCCAGUCUAAGCACCUCACCCCAAAACUCCCACUGCUCUUUCCAACCCCCUUACCCACUCAUCACAGUAAAGCUCUGAGCAAUUUUCAGCACAGAUUCAUCAGUACAUAUUUCCUGAUGAUUUUUCUGUUUAUUACUGGCUGUGCAUUUCUGGCUAAGUCAACCGCUACAGUCAUUGCUAUUACACAUUGUCCUCAGUCUGAGGGCUAUUUCUGCCCAUGGUAAAAGAAACUGCAGUUCUUUCUGAUUAAUUCCACAGAAAUGUCCAUUGCUCAGACAGGAGGCUGCAAAGCCAACUCAAGCUAGUCACUGAAUUACUUUAAAACAAUUAAAUUUCUGUGGAUGGAGAUCCAAUGACAACCCAAAAUAUUCUUCUGGGACUUUUAUUCACUUUUCAUGUUAUUUUUUGUUCUGUUUUUAUUGUCACCAUCAGAUUUAAUCACAAACAGAUCAAAAACACCCAAACCAGUCAGCCCAUCACAGUGUAACCCCAAAUUUCCAUAACCAGCUUCCCUGCAGAAGGACCUACCCAAUUCCAGAGUCAGUUCUGCACACACUCACUACAAGAUUCACUGUGAAGGAACAGAUGUCCACCAAGCAGAUGCAGGACUUUAAGCAAACCCCAAAGGUGCCCCAUGCAGAAGGCAGUGAACAAAAGCACAAGGCGAUUUGGCAAGCAGGGUGCUUGGAUGGCACAUGCUAUGCUGCAAGCGCUGGAUGGCCAUCCUCAUCAAGAGGAAGCUUCAUUAUGUCACUGCAAGCCACCAGGACCCAAAAGACUCUGAAUCGGAUGUGGGGCAUAUAGAAAAAGCCAAGUUUGCAAAGCAGAGAUGCACAGUGCUCCUUCAUGCCCCUUUCUCUCAAACUUCAGGAAAUAAGAAAACAAGGCUGCCGGUAUUUCCAGCUGGCUCAUUAUAGGAACAAAAUGCCUGUCCUUAUGCUUAAAAGUAGAAGCAAAGUCAGUGCAACCCCACAGAACUCCCCAUGCAACACCAGAAAUGCCUUUUCCUCUCCUUUCCCUUUUGUUGAAACAUCAUUUGAAGCAAAAGCCCUGAAAUGCAGUAACCGCAGAAAAGCAAGCAAGCAAAUUACAAAGUGAGUGCACAAAGCACAUGAUGACAUUUAAAAGUGAGGUUGCUCUUACUCAUUUGUAUUUCAAAGGCCAGGUUGACACAAGACAUUUUUCCUGUUAUAGCUUUGUCUAUUAAGGGAACAAUAGACAUUUUUGACUGUACAGUGUUAGCCCAAGCCUUCCUGUAGAUGCAGCUGCAGUGAUAUUCAGAUCUCGAGUGGAGAGCUUCGGGUCUGACCUGGGAAACCCCUGCUAGGUCUGAUAGAGCCCACGCUAGUCUCAGAAGGCUUACUCAUGUCCAUACACUCAUCGACCCUUCCGGAACUAGCUAUGGCUUGGGUGACUAUGGAGCUGAAAAUGUUGAGUGUUUCCUUUCCUUCGGCAAUUUCACACUGCUGAAACCUUUUCAGCUUCAGCAGAGCUCUCACUGAAUAAGGUGGCAAUAAGUGAAAACCUCAGGCUCAACGUUUUAACACCUCUGUGGCCUCUAUCAAACUGUAAGGACUCCUUUCUUUGCAGAAAAGAAUGUUUUGAUGAAAUCAACAGUAACAGCCCCAGUACUGAGGAUGAGGACCACAGGUGCUAAUCUGACUAACUGGUAGCAAGCUUCAGUGCUCCUCAAAGCAAGAGUGGCAUCUUUCUGCAGUCCAGCAUGUCCUGGUUUCAGCUGGAACAUUUAUUCACAGCAUUUCAGUUAUUGCUGAGCAGUGCUGCUCAGAGCCAGGGAUGUUUCAGCUUUUCAGUUUCUUGUACUGUCCUGCCAGUGAAGGGGGCUGUGAGGGCACAAGGAGCUGGGUGGGGGCAGAACGAGGACAGCUGAGCUACGCUGGCCAAAGGGAUAUUCCACACCAUAUGGCAUCAUGCAAAAAAACUUGAAGAACAGUGGGGAGUUGUCUGGGGGGGUAGCAGCUGUUCAGGGACUGGCUGAGCAUCUGCCAGUGGGUGGUAAGCAAUUAAUUGUGUUGUGUAUCACUUGUUUUGUGGUUAUUUACUACUAUUUUUUUCCUCUUCCUUUUCUGUCUUAUUAAACAGUUUUAUCUUAACUCACAAACUCUACUUCGUGGUGGUGCUUUUUUUUUUUUUUUUCUAAUUCUCUCCCUCCCCCAUCACACUGGGAGGGAGAGGUGAGAAAAUGGCUGUGUGGAACUGAGCUGCCUGCCAGGUUAAACCACAACACAGUAAUUUGAUGUAAAAUCAAGGUAAAAUUGAACACACUAAGGCACUUGUAUGAGACUCUGACGCUCUGCUUAGGCAUAACACCUCCCUAGGCUGACAAACUCAAAACUGGUAGUCAGGGUACAUGGAAAAUUUGGUUGUAAUAAUUUCAUCCUUUUACCUUUCUUCUGUCUCAAAGGAACUAACCCUCCAUGUCACCCCACAAAACAUACCUUUUUAAGUACCCAUUCUCAGGUUAUCAAACUAGAAACUCCAGAGCUUCUUGAAAACCUUUAUUUGCCUACAGCAAAUACACCUGUCACAAUUCAGCUGGGCUGGCAUUUACAUUAUGCAAAUACAUAAAACUGACACGGUCAUGGCAGACCAGGUCUCUAUCUCCUCUGCAAACACCAUCUUGAGUCCUUAAAGACAAGGCAAUGAAACAAAGGUCAUUAAUGUCCAUGCAAUAAGAACAUCAUCUUCUGAACAGGACCAAAAGAUGAGUCAUUCAAAUGGUCAUCAUGCUCCUUGGGCUCCUUCAGGUUGGAGUUGACCAUGAGGGAUCACUUUUCUUCCAUCACUUGACCUUAGGGUUAAAUCUGGCUCCUUUUCUGCCCCAAGAACACAUUGGUGCUGUUGGAUUCCUCUUCUCCUGUUAUUAAGUUGGAGCACAAGGUCCUAGCACCAUCCAAAUCCAUCCCUACCCCACUACCUCAGAAGGAAAUUUUAGUUACUUAGUUGAAUACUAUCCAAAGCAAGGCAAAAUUCCAUCUUGAUGCAGAUCCAUUCAAAAUUACUCAUUAAAAUAAGAUGUGAGGAUGGAGGACAAGAAGGAAGAGAAGAUGGCUGUACAACUUAAGUCUUUUUUUUUUUUUUCUAGAAAUAAGGACUGUGGGUGCAGUGACAAAUAAAGACAGUGACAAAUAUUUUCUUCCAUUCACUAGACUUAGUGUCUGUCUCACAAACUUUCUGAAGCAGUCUCCAGUGACACAGGCCAUCAUUCCAGUAACAGCUGACAGAGAAGCAGAAGUUGCAGGUCAUAAAGGCACCCCUUGCUUUCAUACAGCAAGAGUGGUGGAUGGUACACAUCUUCUCUUGCCUGGGUGAAGCAAUGAUAUCAUUUAGGGAUGAUGGGAAGCAAACUGGGACAGGUCACAGAAAGGUCUGGCAAUGGACUCGACACAUCUGACCUGACACCCCCAUCACAAAAGUGAGAAUGAU